rnacentral:rRNA from 1 species
UAGACCUCAAAUCAGGUGGGACUACCCGCUGAACUUAAGCAUAUCAAUAAGCGGAGGAAAAGAAACUAACAAGGAUUCCCCUAGUAACGGCGAGUGAAGAGGGAAAAGCCCAAAUUUGUAAUCUGGCUCUUUUAGAGUCCGAGUUGUAAUUUUAAGAACUGUUUUCCGUGCUGGACCAUGUACAAGUCUGUUGAAAAACAGCAUCAUUGAGGGUGAAAAUCCCGUACAUGAUAUGGACUACCAGUGCAAUGUGAUACAGUCUCUAAGAGUCGAGU